rfam:Picea glauca, whole genome shotgun sequence.
AUGUAAUGUAAUGCCUACAAUGUUAAUGCACUAGAUCCCACUAGAAAUCCACAAUAAGCACGCUUGGGAUAGAGUAGUACUGGGAUGGGUGACCUCCUGGGAAGUCCCAGUGUUUUACAUG